AACGAACGCUGGCGGCAUGCCUAACACAUGCAAGUCGAACGAGACCUUCGGGUCUAGUGGCGCACGGGUGCGUAACGCGUGGGAACCUGCCCUUAGGUUCGGAAUAACUCCCCGAAAGGGGUGCUAAUGCCGGAUAAUGUCUUCGGACCAAAGAUUUAUCGCCUUUGGAUGGGCCCGCGUUGGAUUAGCUAGUUGGUAGGGUAAAAGCCUACCAAGGCGACGAUCCAUAGCUGGUCUGAGAGGAUGAUCAGCCACACUGGGACUGAGACACGGCCCAGACUCCUACGGGAGGCAGCAGUGGGGAAUAUUGGACAAUGGGCGAAAGCCUGAUCCAGCAAUGCCGCGUGAGUGAUGAAGGCCUUAGGGUUGUAAAGCUCUUUUACCCGGGAUGAUAAUGACAGUACCGGGAGAAUAAACUCCGGCUAACUCCGUG
rnacentral:rRNA from 1 species